rnacentral:rRNA from 1 species
AGAACGAACGCUGGCGGCAGGCCUCAAACAUGCAAGUCUAGGGGGUGUAGCAAUACAUCACCGGCGGACGGGUGCGUAACGCGUGGGAAUGUACCUAUUGGUUCGGAACAACUGAGGGAAACUUCAGCUAAUACCGGAUGAGCCCGAAAGGGGAAAGAUUUCUCGCCAAUAGAUCAGCCCGCGUCCGAUUAGCUAGUUGGUGGGGUAAAAGCCUACCAAGGCGACGAUCGGUAGCUGUUCUGAGAGGAAGAUCAGCCACACUGGGACUGAGACACGGCCCAGACUCCUACGGGAGGCAGCAGUUGGGAAUCUUGGCAAUGGGGAAACCCUGAUCCAGCCAUGCCGCGUGAGUGAUGAAGGCCUUCGGGUUGUAAAACUCUUUCGACGGGGACGAUAAUGACGGUACCCGUAGAAGAAGCUCCGGCUAACUUCGUGCCAGCAGCCGC